rnacentral:rRNA from 1 species
UGCCUGGGACCGGGGGAUAACACUCGGAAACGGACGCUAAUACCGCGUACGUCCUACGGGAGAAAGCUGGGGACCUUCGGGCCUUGCGCUAUCACAUGAGCCUAGGUCGGAUUAGCUAGUUGGUGAGGUAAUGGCUCACCAUGGCGACGAUCCGGACCCGCCCUGAGAGGAUGAUCAGGCCCACUGGAACUGAGACUCGGCCCCGACUCCUACGAGAGGCGGCCCAGGCUCAUAUUGGACAAUGGGCGAAAGCCUGAUCCAGACUUGCCGAGUGUGUGAAGAAGGACUUCCGAUUGUGAAGCACUUUAUUUUGGAAGGAAGGGCACUGACCUAAUACAAUAAUGUCUUGACGAUACCCUGAUACUAACUUGAGGGUAACUCUGUGCCAG